CCUACGGGUGGCAGCAGUGGGGAAUAUUGGGCAAUGGGCGCAAGCCUGACCCAGCAACGCCGCGUGAAGGAUGAAGGCUUUCGGGUCGUAAACUUCUUUUCUCAGGGACGAAGCAAGUGACGGUCCCUCAGCCCUACGCUACGGCUACCUACGUGCAAGCAGCCGCGGAAAUACGUAGGUGCCAACCGUUUUCCGGAUUUACCGGGUGUAAUGGGCGUGUAGGCGGGGAAGCAAGUCGGGUGUGAAAACCAUGGGCUCAACCUGUGGCCUGCAUUUGAUACUGUUUUUCUUGAGUACUGGAGAGGCAGACGGAAUUCCUGGUGUAGCAGUGAAAUGCGUAGAUAUUAGGAGGAACACCAGUGGCGAAGGCGGAUUGCUGGACAGUAACUGACGCUGAGGCGCGAAAGCGUGGGGAGCAAACAGGAUUAGAUACCCCGGUAGUC
rnacentral:rRNA from 1 species